ACAUUUAGAUUCAUUGCAAAAUCACAACAAGAGUAAUAAAAUUUUACUCUGCUAUUGACCUCACAUAUAAGUACAUUCUGAAAUGGAACCCGUUUAAGGUGAAUAACAUCAUAUAACAAAUAGCAAACAAGAAGCAGAGAUAAACAAAAGUAGUAUCGCAUCUGCUGAGCAUAAUUUUAUAUUUCAAAUAUUAGACUAAAUCAUGGGUUUCCUGACAGUUUUGAAGAAAAUGAGACAAAAAGAAAAAGAAAUGCGUAUUCUUUUGUUGGGUUUGGAUAAUGCUGGAAAGACAACUAUACUGAAACGAUUCAAUGGCGAGCCCAUAAAUACUAUUUCCCCAACGCUAGGCUUUAAUAUAAAAACAUUGGAACACAAUGGAUAUACGUUAAAUAUGUGGGAUGUUGGAGGGCAAAAGUCAUUGCGAUCGUAUUGGCGGAACUAUUUUGAGUGCACCGACGGUUUAGUGUGGGUUGUCGAUAGCGCUGACAGGAUGCGUUUGGAGACAUGUAAACAUGAGCUUGAGAUAUUGCUGCAGGAAGAAAGGUUAGCCGGAGCAACUUUAUUAGUUUUGGCAAAUAAACAAGACUUACCAGGAGCGUUAAGCGCAAACGAAAUAAAAGAGAUGCUGCACUUGGACAAUAUUACAACACAUCAUUGGCUAGUUGUUGGCGUUAGUGCAGUAACCGGGGAAAAACUUCUAAAUGCUGUAGACUGGCUAAUUGAUGAUAUAGCUAAACGCAUUUUUACUUUGGAGUAAAACUAUCUUCCAGUAAUGGCUUUGUUUUUCGAUGUUUUCAAAGUUUAAGCAAAUAACUAACGAAACUAAGAUGGUGCUUAACUUGAGCCAAACUUAUGUUCAUAUAAAAGCAACGGCACUGUACAUUCAACUUUUUGGCGAUGGCUAUAAAUUUUUUUCGUGAAUCCACAUCUACAUUUGUAUUAUCAACAACGCAUGAAAUCCCGCUGUCCAUCAAACUACUGAUGCGUAAGUAAUUAUUGGUCCAAUCACGAUCCUGUAGUGCCAAUAGAAUCAAAUUUACUUUUUGAUUGAUCUAUUUUCCAAAUUGUGCUUAAUUUUAUAUGCAGCUAGCAGGGAACGGAGCUCGUCCUCUUCAAUUUAAGGAUAAAAAUUUCCCUUGAACACUUAUAUUAUAUUGUUAAGACUUUUUAGUGAAAUACCAUACAUCGAAAACGAAAUAUGUAUUUCUCUUGAAUAAAAAUAUUUUACUUCCAAAUUCCUUUAUUGGAAUCCCAUAAAA